UGGGCAACCUGCCCCUCUCUCUGGGAUAACCCCGGGAAACCGGAGCUAAUACCGGAUACUCCGGCUGGAUCGCAUGGUCCGGCCGGGAAAGGUCCGCCGGAGAGGGAUGGGCCCGCGGCCUAUCAGCUUGUUGGUGAGGUCACGGCUCACCAAGGCUACGACGGGUAGCUGGUCUGAGAGGACGACCAGCCACACUGGAACUGAGACACGGUCCAGACUCCUACGGGAGGCA
rnacentral:rRNA from 1 species